rnacentral:rRNA from 1 species
AUGAUCCUUUGGGACCGCCUAGCUCACACCCACCUGAACCAUGAGGCCAUGGACUCAGUUACGUGGGCCUGGGAGAAGAGUGGCGAAUACUCGGUCAGAUCGGCCUACCAAGCAAGAUUCAUGGGACGCGAGAUCAUUCCCACGGCAGACUUCACUUGGAAAUCGAGGGCACCGCUGAGAUGCCGCUUCUUCGCUUGGAUAGCUCUGCAGAACAGAUGUUGGACCUCAGAUCGACUUGCCAGGCACGGACUUGACCACCAGGAGGCAUGCCCUUUCUGCGACCAGCAUGAAGAGAGCAUCGACCACAUUCUACUCCACUGUGUCUUUGCACGACAGGUUUGGUCCAUCAUUUGUACGGCGAUGAACAAGCCCAACUGGACACCUCGACAGGGAUCAUCACUUUCGGACUGGUGCAUCACCACUCAAGACCUGGGCAGGAGGACCAAGGAUGGUAGGGCUGUCUAUCUCCGGACAAUGUGGGAGCUAUGGAAGCACCGCAACGCCAUUGUGUUCCAUGGGGCCUCUCCCUCCAUACGUACGAUUGUCCACCACAUUGAGGACGAGGGGCGUGCUUGGAGCAAAGUUGGGAUCCUCAAGGGAGACAUAGAGCCUCUAUUCGGAGCGCUUAGAAGGUGGGCGAGCGAGAGUAGUUAG